AUUGAACGCUGGCGGCAUGCUUUACACAUGCAAGUCGGACGGCAGCACAGAGGAGCUUGUUUCUUGGGUGGCGAGUGGCGAACGGGUGAGUAACGCAUCGGAACGUACCGAGUAAUGGGGGAUAACUGUCCGAAAGGACAGCUAAUACCGCAUACGCCCUGAGGGGGAAAGCGGGGGAUCUUAGGACCUCGCGUUAUUCGAGCGGCCGAUGUCUGAUUAGCUGGUUGGCGGGGUAAAGGCCCGCCAAGGCGACGAUCAGUAGCGGGUCUGAGAGGAUGAUCCGCCACACUGGGACUGAGACACGGCCCAGACUCCUACGGGAGGCAGCAGUGGGGAAUUUUGGACAAUGGGCGCAAGCCUGAUCCAGCCAUGCCGCGUGUCUGAAGAAGGCCUUCGGGUUGUAAAGGACUUUUGUCAGGGAAGAAAAGGAACGUGUUAAUACCAUGUUCUGAUGACGGUACCUGAAGAAUAAGCACCGGCUAACUACGUGCCAGCAGCCGCGGUAAUACGUAGGGUGCGAGCGUUAAUCGGAAUUACUGGGCGUAAAGCGGGCGCAGACGGUUACUUAAGCGGGAUGUGAAAUCCCCGGGCUCAACCCGGGAACUGCGUUCCGAACUGGGUGGCUAGAGUGUGUCAGAGGGGGGUAGAAUUCCACGUGUAGCAGUGAAAUGCGUAGAGAUGUGGAGGAAUACCGAUGGCGAAGGCAGCCCCCUGGGAUAACACUGACGUUCAUGCCCGAAAGCGUGGGUAGCAAACAGG
rnacentral:rRNA from 1 species